AGGUCCUUUAAAAUAAUCCAGAGAGGUUAUGAAGGAAAGAUAACUGGAGAUAGUGAUGUAAGGUCCUUUUGUAUGCAAAAGGGCUUUUUUUAAA
rfam:Eubacterium sp. 3_1_31 genomic scaffold supercont1.1, whole genome shotgun sequence.